UGCAAGAAAACUCGAAAUAUAUUUGUCUUUUUUUGGUUCAUCUAUUUUAGGUCUAUUCAGGCUAUGAUGAUAUCAAGCCUUGACUAUCGUUCUGAACUACCAGAGGCUGGGCUUCUGUCAUAAGCUACAGCAGCUUUAGAGCCAUUUUGUAUCAGUACUUUGGCAGAAAGGAGCUGCAAGACAGGUUUUACUGUCCUGUCCUGCUGUCUUAUACAGUAAGUCUGAUUCUGUUCAUACAAAAUGCCAUUGGCACUCAAGGAGAAGACACUAGCUGGAGUAAAGGAAGGACCAAGUGCCAUUAUACUUUGGAAACAAGUAUGCUUUGGAUAAACAUUCCAAGACAGCAUAAACACUGUUUAGAAACCCGACCUGAAGGCUCUGUUCCAGUGCUAGGUCAUCACAAGAGCACGUGGAGAGCAUCUGACUGUUGGAGACAGAGCCUGGCUGAUGUGUGUGAUGAGAAAAAAAACCCGGCUGAAACUGACAUACUGGCUUUAGCAUCAGGACAAGGUUGACACAGCAGAUUGAGGUGGGUAUUAGUUAUUUGGACACCUGCUGCAGCUGCUCUUCCUGGCAUCCUGAGACACUGUAGAGAAAGGAGGACUGUUGGGAAUUACCACUAAUCCAGUAU